UACGUAGGGUGCAAGCGUUGUCCGGAAUUAUUGGGCGUAAAGAGCUCGUAGGCGGCUUGUCGCGUCGGAUGUGAAAGCCCGGGGCUUAACUCCGGGUCUGCAUUCGAUACGGGCAGGCUAGAGUUCGGUAGGGGAGAUCGGAAUUCCUGGUGUAGCGGUGAAAUGCGCAGAUAUCAGGAGGAACACCGGUGGCGAAGGCGGAUCUCUGGGCCGAUACUGACGCUGAGGAGCGAAAGCGUGGGGAGCGAACGGG
rnacentral:rRNA from 1 species